UACAGAGGUGGCAAGCGUUGUUCGGAAUUACUGGGCGUAAAGGGCGCGUAGGCGGUCUCUUAAGCGUGUGGUGAAAGCCCGGGGCUCAACUCCGGGUCGGCCGUGCGAACUGGAGGACUGGAGCUUGUCAGAGGCAGGCGGAAUUCCGGGUGUAGCGGUGGAAUGCGUAGAGAUCCGGAAGAACACCGGUGGCGAAGGCGGCCUGCUGGGACAGUGCUGACGCUGAGGCGCGACAGCGUGGGGAGCAAACAGG
rnacentral:rRNA from 1 species